UACAGAGGGUGCAAGCGUUAAUCGGAAUUACUGGGCGUAAAGCGCGCGUAGGUGGUUUGUUAAGUUGGAUGUGAAAGCCCCGGGCUCAACCUGGGAACUGCAUCCAAAACUGGCAAGCUAGAGUACGGUAGAGGGUGGUGGAAUUUCCUGUGUAGCGGUGAAAUGCGUAGAUAUAGGAAGGAACACCAGUGGCGAAGGCGACCACCUGGGCUAAUACUGACACUGAGGUGCGAAAGCGUGGGGAGCAAACAGG
rnacentral:rRNA from 1 species